UCAACUGCUAUGAAACUGAAGCAGUUCCCUUCUAGAUCCUUCAGGAAAAAGCUGAACAAACAAAUGGGCCUCGCUUGGAAUGUCAACUGCCAAGAGCCCUGCUCCUGUCAACAGAGACUGCAGAUUUUACUGUGAGUGAGAAUGAGGCAUUUGAAGCAAGCAUUGAACAAGUCCAUUCAUACUGAAGAAGAGAUGUCCCACGUCCUUCAUUUGCAAUGACUUAAUGUGGUAGCAUGAGAAAGCAGCUGGAGCAACCAUAAUGUUGAUAAAUGCAUGGCUCGGUGGGAGUGGAGCUGCCGUGGUCCAUAGAGACAGAUCAACAGACUAAGCUGAAUCAUUGAAAGGAAACAAAGAAGUCUUAUAGGACCCAGCGAGCUACUACCGUGGGCUCCACCCCAGAGGUCAGUGCCCCAGAAUGAAAGGAUUGGAAGUGAACAGGAGGAGCAC